UCCUCAUCUUUCUGUGUCUAGAUCUCUUG
rnacentral:piRNA from 1 species